ACCUCCUUGAGUGCUUUGGCGUGAAUUGCAGCAAUGCCUCUUGUUCUUCCAUUUGGAGGAUGAAGAUAUGCAAAUGUGAAGGCAUGUAGAAAACUUAUUUUUGCAUGGCAAGAAAGCAAACUACUGUACAAAAGUAAGAGUCACACCUGUUUCAGUUUUUGCCGCCUGCAGAAAUAAAUAUGGCCCUCCAGCCAUAGCUGUCAACCUUCCCUUUUUUUGCGGGAAAUUCCCUUAUUCCAGCGCUGCUUCCCAGUGCUAUCCCGGAUUGUUAGAUAUCCCGUAGACUGUCCCCGGGACAGGUGAGGCUGCAGAUCCGUUACUUUUGAGGCUGCUGACCCCUUAUUUUCAAAUCUGAAAGUUGACAGCUAGAAAGGUUCCCCAGCCCUGUAUUAGGAGGCCUGAGCAAACCAGUUUCCUUUCCUCCUCCCCCCCUUUAUUUUAAUUCUCUUUCAAUUUAAUUCCCUUUUAUUUUAAUGUCCCUUUCAGUUUUUCCUAUGUCACAUAAACACACAGGUUCUUGUCAGCCUGUGGCUUUAAAAAUAUUUUACAUUUUGCUUGCAAACAUAAUUUUGGCUCCCAUAAGAAUGUAGAAAACACUGCCUUAUUUUGAGGUGGCACAGUUUCACUUGACCACCUGAGUUUGCUAUUGGCAGGAACAAUGUGUAACGGGUGAGUUUUCUGCUAAAUGCCAAUUACUCACUCAUGCUUCACACAGGAGUUGGUAACAUAACCGGUUAUUAAAAAGGGAUAUAUGCAGCUGUCUGGCAGGGCUCCUAACACAGGCUUAUAACAUGGGUUCUUCUAGUUCAAGUGAUCAGAAGAGAAGAAAUGGAGUGUCAAUGCUGGUCUUAACUUAAGGAGAAAGUGCAAAGCUCAUUCGCUGUGCCAAAAUUCAAUACAGUGGUACCUCAGGUUACACACGCUUCAGGUUACAGACUCCGCUAACCCAAAAAUAAUACCUCGGGUUAAGAACUUUGCUUCAGGAUGAGAACAGAAAUCGUGCUCUGGCAGCGCGGCAGCAGCAGGAGGCCCCAUUAGCUAAAGUGGUGCUUCAGGUUAAGAACAGUUUCAGGUUAAGAACGGACCUCCGGAACGAAUUAAGUACUUAACCCGAGGUACCACUGUAUGUUUCCUGGGCAAGGAGGAAAAAAGGUCUAUUACAUUGACAACAAAGUUCCCUCUCAAAAUGGCACCAGAAUAGAUCAAAUCAUGUAGACUAGGGUUGCCAUAUUUCAAAAAGUGAAAAUUCACAAAAGUUUUUGAGCUUUUCUUUUGGGGCCGGGAGGGGGGGCAAAGUUAUUGAGCUUUGGAGGGUGGCCAUGACAAUUGUUUCAGGCCUCACACAUAUGGAAACAGGCACAUCAACACACACAGAUAAUACCCUCCAUAUAAUAACAAAAUAGCCUGGCCCAAAUCCAGUCAAAUCCCAUUGAAGUCAAUUAGUUCUGACUAAUUUAUGCCCCAUUAAUUUCAGUGGGACUUUUGCAUGUCUGCAUUGAAUUGGAGUACAGUGAGAUGGGUGGAAAGAGGGUGGUUGAUAUGUACUGGCUCUUUGUUUGACUCUUGUUGUGCCUAUCUACAACACAAAUGGAGGUACCAUAUGGAAUAUGCAGCCCCCCCCCCGUCGCAUGAGGGGCAUCGCAUUAAAUAGGCAGUGGGUUCUCAUUGGCCAGUGAUUCUUGUAACCACCUUGCCACCAUACGGUGGGGAACUUGUAUUGAUAUGUUAGUGCCUAAUAGUGAGUCAGGCUGUUGGUCUAUCUAGCUCAGUAUUGUCCACACAGCUCUACAAGUUUUCAGACUGCCCUACCAGAAGAUGCUAGAAGCAGAAUAUGGGAGUUUCUACAUCCAAAGCAAAUGCUCAAUCUCUGAGCUAUUGACCUUCCUCAAUGUCUGUAAUGACUCAGUAUUUUGAGUUAAUUAACUUCCAAUAUCCCCUUUAUCCAGCCUUGUGACUGGACUAAUUAUAAUUGUAUUAGAACUAAUGUCUUCCCUAUAACUUAGAGAUAGGGAAUAAGAUCUACCCUAGCGGGUCACAUUCUGGCAUGCACAACUCCAUAAGCGAUUUUGACAGGCAGGUGGGGUUGGAAGCAGCAGCAGGAAUAGAUCAGUUUGUGACUUAAGGGUUAGUUUUGUUAAUGUUAAAGCCAACCAGCCAAGAGGAAGACUGGUGGGGAUGUUGCUUAGCAACCAGUGGCAUGAACCUCACAUGGUCUGAUUGUCUAUGUAGGUUUGAGGGACUUUUCUUCUGUGCAUUAGUUGAAUGCCAUCCAGCUAUACACUAUACUGAGAAAUUCUGUAGUGCAGCUGAUCUCAGCAGAGUUGCUAUAAGUGCUGAGCAGCUGAUUUCUAAGUGACUACCCUAUGUUCUAAUGCAGGUGUAGGAGACCUUAGGCACUGCAGGUGUUGCUGCACUAAAACUCCCACCAUCCUUAGCCAAUGUCCAUGCUUAUUGGGGCUGAUGGAAGUUAUGGUUUAGCAACAUCUGGAUGGCCAAAGGUUCCAGUCAAAAUGUGGAGCCUGCUACCACAGUUAUUUGAUUGUUUGUUUUAUUGACUGCUUACAUGCCAAAAUCAUUUCUAAUCAUUUCAGAAACAUAAAAUCAAAUAUGAAAAUGUCCACACAUAAUUAAGACACACAAUAGAACAUUUCCUUCAAAACAUUAAACAUCCACAAUUAAAAUAUAAAACAAAUCCUUCAACAAUAGUAUGAUAGUUUGAUAAUUAAUAGUUGUAGCUUCCUAAUUUCUUGGGAAAGAAAAUGAAAUUAUUUAAUCAGUGUAUAUGUUGUUGGCUUUGAGUUAAGGAAUUUCACUGCAUAUAAUUUAUGAAUUAAUUGAAGGUAUUUGUUUUAUUAAUCAUGCUUGGAUUUGCCACGUUGAUGGAUAUCGUUUUCCUUCUUUCUCUUCAUAAGUAUAUAUAGCGUUGUAAAUAAAUAAAUAAGAAUAUAAAACAAGUCUGUUUCAAAACUACAACAAUGCCAUCCCCACAUGUGUUUAUUCUGCACAAAAUGUGAUAUUCAACUACACAUUACUGAGAAAAGACACUUUGAAAUUAGUGAACAUAGGUAAGUUAGGUUACUUGCAAUAUAGAACUUAGCUGCAUGCCACUGAAAGUGAGUGGGUUGCAGUCAACUAAGUUUUACUCAGAGUAAACCCAUUGAAAUUAUUGGACAGGAAAACGUCAUGAUCAUUAAUUCCAUUGGGUCUAUUAAGAGCAAAACUUAGUUGAACACAAUUCAGUGUUUAAAAGGUGCUUUGGAAUUACUAGACUUCCAGACAUUCUAUAUCUGAAGAAAAGAAAUAACUAUUGGGCUGGAUCCAGACUUUGUCAUAAUUUGAAUAGGUACGGCAAAAUCAAUAGGCUUAAUUCCCAUUGAUUUCACUAGGUCUACUCUGAGUAUGAUUAAAUCUAGAUUCACCCCCCCCUUUUAAAAACAAACGAAUAUGUUGUUAUGUGUUUAAUUAACAUACCUUGAUCAGCUUUAUAGAUCUCAGAUAGCAUGUGUUUUUUGGCUGGUCAGCUUUGAAAGGUAGUUUUAAUGGAAAGGAAGGUGUGCCAGCAGAGUCGCUAAAUUAAAUUUGGCAGGUGCUCCAUUCCAUCUAAAGAAGUUUGAUUCUUUAGGCAGCCUUAUGCUGUCUGUUGUUGAAAUUAAAUACUAAAUGUAAGCCAAUACUUGUUUAUUUUAUGUGAGAGAGGGCAAAGUAUUUCAUGGCACAGUGACAAUGUUUUCAGAGAUCUUUGCCAGAUCUCUGUAUAAACGUAAUUAAAUGAACUAAUUGGUUACCUGAAACUGUUCUUAGAAGAGCUGUACAUGCCUGAACAAACAAUUAUUGUGGCUUUCCUUACACAAGAAUGAUUCAGAAAAACAAUACUAAAAGAGGGAGAGAGAUGGGAAGACGCCAUCCAUCUUUAGAAAGCCCAGCUGUCCCAAGUUCUUCCUUCAACUCAUUAAAUAGAUGAUAGAUGAUAGAUAGAUAGAUAGAUAGAUAGAUAGAUAGAUAGAUGAUAGAUAGAUAGAUGAUAGAUAGAUGAUGAUAGAUAGAUAGAUGAUGAUAGAUAGAUAGAUAGAUAGAUAGAUAGAUGAUAGAUAGAUAUUGUCAAGGCUGCCUCAAGUCUCAGCUCACAAAAGACCAACGCCUAUGUCUUCUUAUAUACAAAAGUGUUUAUUGCAGUUCAUUGUUUGCUUGACAUCCUAGGCGCGCAGCCUUACGUCUAUUACGCUUAGACCGCUGAAGUCCCCUCUGAAUCCGUCCCUCCCCUGCACCAAUUUAAGAGGCUUGCGCUGCUCCACCUCUUUCUCUCCUUCCUUUUCCGCAGGGUCCUUCUGCCCGCUGGGGUUUCGCCCCUCCUGGAUUCCUCUGACGCGGAAUCAGACUGCUCUUCCCCCUCCUGCGGGCUUUGGGACCUGGCCCCUCCUCCGGGCUCCCUGUACUUCCGCGCGCCUCUACAUUUGAACUAGCGCGCGCGCCAAACCUCUAACUUUCCUUUUGACAGUUACACUACUCCCUUCACUGCUCCCCUCCCCUUCCGGGAGGGCGGCUUGCUCUGACCUCCCUCCUUUCUCUGCUGCCGGAGCUGCUUCCCCUGACACUCUGGUGGGGAGGCUGGUCCUGACGCCCAGCUGCCACUUUGGGAUCCUCCGCUGGCCCCCUGCUCCUGACACGUCCCCCUGGGGCUCCCUGGCCUUGACCACCGGCGCCCCUUCUGGGAAUCCUCUGAUUCGCUGGAAAGACUCAUGGAAUCUCUUGAGUCAUUGUCAUCCUCUUCCUCGCUGGCUUGGAAUUCAUCCCCAUCGCUCUCCAUCUCCUGCCUACCCUGUGCCUCUCUCCCUGAACCCCUGACAGAUAUGAUAUGAUAUUAUUAAGAAUUUUCAUAAUACAUCACAAUAAAAAAUGAACCAAUCUAAAGAAAAAUAAAAACAAAAAGGAAAGGAAUAAUGCAAAGUCCUCUAUCACAGGUAGAUGUUAACUCUUGUCCCACAUAAAAAUAUGUGAACCCUUCCAGCUUUCACCUGGGAGAUUGCUUUGCUUCUCCCAGCAUCUCACCCUGGGAGAUCUUCCCUUCCCUGCCUCUCACACAGAGUCCUUCACCAACAACGAUACCUAGCAUUCUCUGGGAAUUUGGUUCCGUGAGAGGAAUGGGGGUCUCCUAACAGUUUUCAGCAUAUUUAACAAAGCAUAGUUCCCAUGAUUCUUUGGGGAGCCCAUUACCAUUAAAGUGGUAUGAUAAUGCUUUAAACGUAUGGUGUGGAUGUGGCCUGUGAUUCCAUUUGGCCCUUUGUGUACAGAUUUUCACUGCCAAGAUCAGAUUCAUCAUUUGGCUCACCUUCUGUUUGAUGGGCUUUUCAUUUCACAUUUAUAAUUUGUUUUUGUUGUGGGCAUUUUUCUUUUAUUAAUAUGUUAUUAGUAUUUUAAUGUAUUUUUGUCUCACUUUUAUUUAAACGUAAGCUUGCCCAAACACCUUGUAAGAGGAAAGGUGGAUUCUUGCUUCUUAAAAGAACCGUCUACUAAAUAAAUAAUCAAUAAAUGAUGUUUGCAUCCUUCAUUUUCUAUCACGUAAACCAAGUUUCCCAAGAUGGGUGAAGUUAGAAGCCAGGAUUUUACUUUAUUUUCACAUCCCUUACCAUGAAAGUGGUCUUCAAAAUUCUCAUUUUAGAGGGGAAACCACUAUCAAAGGACAGCAGAGAUGGCAUUUCUGUUUGCACUUUUUAUGUUUGUGACUCACAGGGGACAGUCAACGAGUGCCUGAUUUUAGUGUCUACAUUCUGAGCAUUAGUCAACAUGGUACACUUUGUUUUAUAAGGCAGUAAAACCUCUCAAUUUUAAGAUGUCUGCUGUACUUUGUCCAUCGACUCUACUGAUUUUCACUCCUGAGAUUUUUAUUGUUCCAGCUGGCAUUUUAAUUGCAGACAAUUGCAGUGUCAAUUUUACAAAGACUUGCUAGAGAGAGAGAGAAAGUUAACCGACUGUAAUUGAUGAACAGCCUUUCCUCACACAUGUAUUUUAGGCUUAGUCGGCUGCUGUUUUACUCAGAAGGGAAGUGAAUGUUAGCCUUGACCUUGGUUUCAUAACUUGGACCAACUGUUCCUGUCCUCAUGUCCCAGAGCAUACACACUUGCUAGAAAGCCAGCUGGGGCAAGAUGAAUAAAGGGGAUCAUGACAAGUCUCAUAGGAUGGAAUCACUAGACCCUGGUCUGGUUUUAAACCUAACAAAAACUAAUUCCAUACUGGGACUUAGAAUUUUCUAGCAGAUGGUUUAAGCUGGGGAUAAAGAUGGCAGCAAUCCAUGAUCUUUUGUAUCCAAGCACAUGGUACUCAAGAGUAUUAUUGUUUCUAAACAAGAAAAUAUCAUUUGGUUACUAUCACUGAUCACUGCUGAUAAAUCUAUUGUUCACAACUGUAUCUCUAACUCCUGUUAAAACCAAAGGUUCAUUUUCAAAUGUGAUGCCAGAUGUGUAUGGAAAUGAAACUCACCAGUAGCCUAUGUACUGGACUACAACUCCCAUCAUACCUGAACACUGGUCAUUCUGGCUGGGAAUUAUGAGUUGCAGGCCAACAAUAUUUGGAGGGCACCAUAUUAGCUACCCUUGUUUUAGGCCAAAUGAGGGGAAAUUGUGGAUGUCUCCAGAUGUUGAAAGACUACAACUCUCAUUUCCCCCAAAUUAUUGGCUACAUGAUCACAUGUUCCUUACAUGGCCUUCAGUUUGAAAGCAACUAUGGUUAUCAUUCAGCUAGCUUUCAUAUUGAAAUCAAACCUUAGUUUGAAGAAGAUUUUGGUGUUCCUUCACAGGUAAACCAUUUGAAGACUUCUGGUGGAAUUUUCUGAAGAAUAACAACAUUUAGCAGGGCUUUGCACCUUCUUAAAUCUUUGGUUUGGCACCUAGAAACUUGUGUAUGUGUGGUAAUGUUCUGAGCAGGAAGCCUACUGUUGUUGGGGUAGCACUCAUGGUAUCACACUGGAAUGUGGUGUAAGAACAGAAGGAUUAGCAUCAUUCACUUUUGAGCCAGUGCUUAACUCUGGCAUCUUUCUCAGUUCAGUGCAACAAGUCUGAACCAUCAUUUGAUUCAGUUCACACUGAAAGGCAAACCUAUCUAAUUUGCAUUUCCCAAAACAAUGCACAGCCCAAAACACAACCAUCCUUCAAAAUUCACAAUGAUAGGCGCUGACUUCAAACUCUGCUAUUGGGAUUGGCCUGCACAGGAUUGUUAGUAGCACAGCCGAUUCCAGUUGGCUUACCCUCACCACCAAUCAGCUGAUUGGGGGUGACAGAAAAUCUUCCUUGCCAAUGCACAAUCAGAAGUGGAUGUUAAGCCUUCUGACUGCACACUGGCAACUGAGUAUCCACCUGCCCCUCACCUGAUUUCACAUGUGACUUCAGAUGAGGAAAAUGAUUUGGUGGGGAAAAAGCCACAUGAGCCAAAUUGGAACCCCCGCUGGGCCAAAUUAGACCCCUGGACCAGGGAUUUAAAGCAAAGUGUCUAGCUGAAUGAAGGUAGAAGCUUUCAGCACCCUUCAUUUUAAAUAUGACACACUCAGUCUAUUGUUGAACCAGCUGCAAAAUUGGGUCCACAACACAAAAGCAAAAAGCCACAGAUGUAAGUUGCUUCAGCCAGGCAGCUUCAGAAGGCAUCUUAAAGAUUGCCAAGUGUGGGGUGAAGGGAGGAGGAAAGCGAGAACCUGCCACCUUCUAUUAAUUUUCGUUGCAAUUCCAUCUGUGCAUGAAGUAGCCUAAUGAUCCAAGCAAUUGCAGUCACUUGUCAAGGAUCUUUUCACUUAUUUCCCCGCAAACAAACUUGCUGAUGAUAUUAGUGGGCAGCUGCCAGAAUUCAUCACGGCACUUAACGCAUCCUUGGCAAGAGCUGACAGAUGUGAAGACGCCGGGAUAUUCCACAGUUGGCACACAUGACAGCCCAGAGCACAAUUCACUUUUCAAAAGUCUAUUUAAGGCAGAAGUGCAAAAAGAGAGGAAGAGAUUGUACUAAUCUUCAGAAGGAAGUCUAUUGCCUAGGCUUGGAGAGAAACAGAGGGUGUAGUUUAGCAUUCUGGCACAUGAUUUGCAGUAAGUCUGUAAAAAUCUGAGGUUCACUUUCCAAUUCCAUCAGAAGAAAGACCUCAGGAAGCAGAGGUGGGAAAACCCAUCUCACUUGAUGUCUUGUAUAUGACAGUAGCAAUGUAUUAUUAUGUUAGAGGUUUUAUUACAAUCAAGCUGUAUAUAAAUUUUGUGAAGUAAAUAAAACAAAAUAAGGUUUUUAAUUAUCCCCAUUUUAUAUGAAGCUCAGGAUAGUGUCUCUAAUGUAUUUUGUCACCACAACUCUGGGAGGUAGGUUUGUCCAAGACUGACUGGCACAAGAUGAGUUUCAAAGAUGGCUAAGUGGGGCUUUGAAAUUGAGUCUCUUACAACCCAGUCAAAAGGGGUGAGUACAUUUUUUCAAUGCUGAAGAACAGGUCACCUUUACUUAUUUGAUUUGUACAUGGUGCCUCUCCCUGCUAUCUUCACAACAACCCUGUAAGGUAGGCUAGGCCAAGGUCUCUCAAACAACCUUUCUGGCUAAGUGGAUAUUUGGACCUCUGACCCCCUCCAAUUUAGUUCUGUACACUAACUAUCAUCCCAUACUGGCUCUACCUCCCCCUUCCCCAAGGCCCUGAAGCUUCAUGGGGAAACAGCAGAAGUGAUGUCAGUCCCAAACAGUGUUGUUUUUUCUCACCAGGGAUGGGACCAGGGCAACUGCUUCCUGAGGCGGGAAAUGUUCAUUUCUGCUGCGACAAAGAUCCUUAGAGAACCAUGGCAGGAAAAGUCUCUCAUCUGGGUCCUGAGAACAUCACACAACCUCAUUUCCAUCUACUACCUGAAGGUGAAUUUCUGAGCUUUGUGGCAAAGAAGGGGAAGAGCUGCAGUGAUGGAGGGCCCUUUGCACCCACCUUUUUUUUUUUUUUUUUUUUUUGCAAGCAUACAGAUUGAAUGAGCACAAAACUUUGGAUCUUUGCAAGCAUUCAGUUGAAGCUACUCUGAGAAUUUAAUUAAAGGGAAUUUCAUAGAAAAACCUUGAAUGAGUAUAUAUCAAUACUUUUUUUAAGGGUGAACAGCAGGAUUCUUGUAAAUUGUUCAAAACUGAUUUAGUUUUGUGCUAUAGUUCCAUUGCUUGUAUACCACAGAAACUUUGUAUUUCUAGAGAGGGUCAAUAGAGGAGGAGGAGAGUGUGGAGAGUCAGAUCUCCGUUUCUCUAGCUGUUGGGAGACUGGCACUACAGGGUCUCAUUCAGUAGUGGCCCCCAGGUGAGCAGGUCUUUGUCAUCCCAGUGGUACCUAGCCCUUUCAUCUGAAAGAACAGGGAGUCCUAACAAAAAGAAAGAACAAGUGUUCAGGAAAUUAAAUGGGAUCUUAAAAGACCUCUAUUAGGCUGAGAAGCGGGUUCACUCAGUACUGUUAGGUUGGAUCCACUAUGCAGUGUCAUAGCUAUGACUCCUAAUCUGGCUACUAUGGAGUCAUGUCUGCUGUCCAUGUUCCACCCACCCACCUCCCCACAUGCCUUCAUCUCUCUGCCUGCUACAGUUAAACACAUAGGAAGAGCCCUGUUGCAUCAGGCCAAGUGUUCAUUUGUCCAGCAACCUCUUCUCGCAGUGGCCAGCCAGAUGGUGUUUUGGAGCCUGGAAGGAGGAGCUGAGUGCAGCAGUUUCCCUCCUCUUUCUCUGUUGGGAGCUCCAUGCCAUUCUCUCUUCACUCACCCCUGUAGGACAUAUAGAUUGGGUUUAGAUCUCUCUCCCUGUUCACACCUACCCUCAGGAAUAUCUGUUCCUUCCACCAGCUAUGGAAUCUGGCACCAGCCUUGCCCUGUGUUUUUAACAGGGCAAGGCUAGCUGGUCACACCCACACAGCAUCACAUGGCACUGCCCAUCAGGUGAAAAGUUAUGGAGAGGCAUUGGAAACAAGCAAUUACUAAAAUCAGGUAAAAGAUUGCUUCUGGACCCUAAACUAUGUGUUCUAUUUUUAAUAAAGGGAAUGCAGCUCUUAUAUGUAAACAGUUGCAUAUCGUAUUGUAGCCAUUCAAUUAGUCAUUACUCAGGGCUGGAAAGGCACUUCAUGCUGUACCCUACAUAACUGGUUCAAUAAAGUCAUGGUCAUUGUUAUUUCAGAGAAUUUGGUAUGUAAUCAUAUGACUAGCACUGGCACGGAUCCUUCUGUUUGGGGUAUUUAUUAAAUGUGCAAUGCCUUCUUACUGUCUUUUAUUGUCUUUUUCAUUGUAUAAUGUAAGGCUGUUUUCAUAUCUCAUUUAUAAUUUUAUAAUUGUAUCCAUUUCAUUCACUUCUGUAUUCUUAUUUGUCUUUGGACUUUAUUAUCAAAAGCACUUUGUGUUGGACUUAUAUUAUUUUGUUCUUAUUGUUUGCUUUUAUCUUUGUAUGUUGUGGAUAGCAGUUGAAGACACAUCUUACUAACUUCUGAGCCACUUAGGAAGUGGUUGAGAUAGCUGCAAGGCCUUGUGGGGAGGGCAGUGUCCUAAACACUGUCCACUCAUUUUUACUUUUAUGUUUUGCAAUAUUUUCUCUGCCACAAGUAUUAUAAAGGUAAAGGGACCCCUGACCAUUAGGUCCAGUCGUGAACGACUUUGGGGUUGCGGCGCUCAUCUCGCUUUAUUUGCCGAGGGAGCCGGCGUACAGCUUCCGGGUCAUGUGGCCGGCAUGACUAAGCCGCUUCUGGCGAACCAGAGCAGUGCACAGAAACGCCGUUUACCUUCCCGCCAGAGUGGUACCUAUUUAUCUACUUGCACUUUGACGUGCUUUCGAACUGCUAGGUUGGCAGGAGCAGGGACUGAGCAACGGGAGCUCACCCCGUCGCGGGGAUUCGAACCGCCGACCUUCUGAUCGGCAAGUCCUAGGCUCUGUGGUUUAACCCACAGCGCCACCCACGUCCCUUGCCACAAGUAUUAUAGGAACCUAGGAAGUGGGCUUGCACUGACCAGUGAUCCAUCUAGCUCAGGAUUAUCUGCACUGAUUGGGAGUGGCUCUCCAGAUUUCCAUGACAUGGUCUUUCCGAGCCCUAUCUAGAGAUGCCAUGUAUUGAACUGGAACUCUCUGCACGCAAAGCAGAUCCUCUACCACUGAGCCAUGGUCUUUUGCAUUAAACACUAUAGCACUACAAAACUGUAAGAGUAUACCAGUAAUCUACUCAUACAUAAGCUCAAUAACAUUCAAAAGGACUUACAAUGGAACCUCGGGUUGCGAAUGUGAUCCGUAUGGGAGGCAUGUUCGCAAACCGCAGCAUUUGCAACCCACAGCGCCGCAUCUGCGCACACGUGGGUUGUGGUUCGGUGCUUCUGCACAUGCGCAAAGUGCAAUUUAGCGCUUCUGUGCAUGCGCGAGUGCCGAAGCCCGGAAGUAACCUGUUCUGGUACUUCCAGGUUCGGCACAGUACGCAACCUGGAAAUGCGUAAUCUGAAGCGUCUGUAACCCGAGGUACCACUGUACUUCCAGGGAAGUCUGUACAGUACUGCAAUGCUAGGCUGCAGUCCUAAGCCUACUUACUAAGGAGUAAACUCCAGGGAACACAGUAGGUGUUACUUCUGAGCAAACCUGCAAAUGAUUGCACCAUAAGUCUCAUUAGUAUACUGCUGCAGCAGCUUCCUGUGUGAAUUAUGUAAGUUUUCCACUAUGCUUUAUUAGACGUAGUUUAUUUCCUUUUCAACUUAAUAAAAAGCAAUUGCAUGAUUUAAAGCACAUACGCACACCAGAUUGCCUGUUAUUGGAGAAAGAUGGAUUAAUUUGUUCAUUUGUCUAGUCAUUUGUUUUCAUAUAAAGCAAAAUGACAGGACAACAGCUGGAGAUUAUUAUUAUUUUUAAUAGCCUUCAGGCUUUUCUUUAUUGAAUAUUUCCAAGUGUAAAUCAAUCUAACUAUUUUAAUAAUUCCAAGAUUCCAAAAUAUGUAAACUUAAAAAUCUACUCCGUUAAUUUGUGCAGAUUUGCACGUCAAGCAGCACAAAAGGAACCCUUGAUAUAACCGAGGACUUUAUAGGCUUCCAUUUGGCACUUCUUAAAAGCUAAAUACAGUGUUUUCAGCUUUAGAUAUCUCUUCCCUUCUAUUGCACUCUCCAGCACUAGCUGGAUACAAUGGAAGUGGCAAAGAGGAUUUAAUUUUAUUACCCAAAAUAUUUCAUCCUCUCUUCCCUAAGUUUAUAUUACAGUAAUGCAUUUUGUUAUUUACAUGCUGCUGCAAAGACAGACAGCCAAAUAAGAACUGGAGUCAGAGAGACAUUUAGAAUACAAAUAAAAAUUCUUCAAACCUCCCUCCCGCCCCAGCAUGAUGGCAAAGAAAAGCCAGCAAGAUGUUGAAGCCGAGUUUCAUCCUUCCUUCCUUAAAUUAUUUAUGGCCAAACUGAAGAAGUAUGAAAUGCAGGGUGGGGGGAAAAAAAUCAAGGAGUAGUUACUGUUGAGAGUUAUGCUGUAUGGAGACUGGGAAGGAAAUCAAUGGAGUUUACUUUUUAAAGCAAUCAUACCAAAUUCACAAUUUCCGAAACAAUAUGCAAAUUGAAAUACAGCCGCUCUUUGAAAUUCACGCUUUUCUGAAUUUUGCAAGGCAGUUCUCCAGCUAAGUAAUGAGUACAAAAGCACACCUACUAGGAUAAAGUAUGCAUAAAUAGGCAUAUGCAGUCAAUCCCCCCCCCCAAAAAAAAUGCAUGGUGGUUACAUCCUACGCCCCUGUGUGUGUAAGUCAAAAUUGUGUAAGUGGGGAGCACCCUCUAAACACCCUUUAAAUGCCUUCUCCUGCUCUCUCUCUAAUCCAGACCAAAAAUAUGGUAUCCAAAAAUAUCCACAACUAGAAUUGAAACUCUGGGGCUGGAAGGAGACUGGAGGAUGCAUAGGAAAGUGGCAUCUGUUGAUGUGCCACUGUAUGUCUCAGCUGUUGUUAAAGUCUGGCUGUGCCUCCUGUAUCUUUGGGGCUUCCUCCACCCUCACCAAAGUUCUCUUUGGGCUCAGGGGAGGGUCUCAUUUUGAGGCACAAGGACUCUUCAGCUCUCUCCUGCCAUUUCCAGGUUUGAAUCAAAUUAUUUGUUUAUUUCCCGGUGCGGCGCAUGUACACGGUCAUGCAAUAUAAAAUGGGGAGUGCAAUAUAUAAUGGUCUACAAAACUGUGCAUAUUAGUCAAAAUUGGAUAUUAAAAGGUUCCUCUUAAAGUUCUUUCUUUAAAUAAAAAAAUGCAAAUUGCUGAAUUUAAGAUUGAAAAAAAUGAGAAAUUGGGAGAACAGAAACCAAGAAACCUAGUGGCAGAGGAAAGGAGUGUUCUUUAGCGGCACGCUCAGUCUGACCAGACACAAAAGAGCCCCGCUAAAAAUAUGAUGCAGUGCCAGUGUCUGCCACAUUCUCUUUUAUUAUAAGCCUCCCGCUGCCGCCACCCCACUGCAGCGCGAUUUCUGUACUCAUCCUGAGGCAAAGUUCUUAACCUGAAGCACUAUUUCUGGGUUAGCGGUGUCUGUAACCUGAAGCGUAUGUAACCCGUGUUACCACUGUACUUCGCUUUUUUGGCCUUCUGACAGAGCCUUCUUGUUAUUAGUUCCCCAGUAAUGGAAUGCCUUCCUUGGUGAGGUGCAAUCGAUUGCUAACUUUCAGCAAGAAUUGUAAAACAUUCCUGUUCACCCAGGCAUUUGAUAGCUGAAAGAAACUGUUUUCUUCCAACUUUGAAAUGAUUAGCUAAGAGGAUAUGUAACUGUUUAAAACAGUUUUAGAGCAGAGGUGGCCUCUCAACACAAGAGCCAUAUUCUAUUCUGGGCAACCUUCUGAAGAUCAUUUUCAGAUGUUGAGUGGAGCCAUGAGCAAAGUGGGCCCAUGAGCUCCAAAAGACUGGGGGAACCUGAUUUAAAAGAACCAUCAGAACUAACAUUGUCUAGAACUCUCCCUAGAUACUUGCAUAUCUUUUUUCUUUGAAAGUCUAAGUAUUUAGAUAUAGCUCCAUGUCAACUUGCAAGAAGCAAGCUAUUGCAGGAGAGAACAAAGCAAAUAGACUACAGUGGAGAAUAGGCUACAGGAAGGGUUCUCGUGAACUAGGGCUGAAUAUUUCACAUUGGAAUUCUCAUAAAAAAUGCCGAAUAAGUAUAAAAGUCAAGCAAGAGUCUUACGACACAAAGAGCAGUACUCAAUUCACAAAGUAAAUGGUUUUGUUUUUUUGUUUAAUGGAAAAGCUUGAAUUUUCCUUGCCACAGGCAAAAUAAGUGCUUGAAGACGCUCCAUGGCCUGUAGCCAUUCAUUCACAACGUCCUAGGUGAAGUACUUUAUUGUGAUGUAUCUUGUCAGGUUGUUUCAUUCACAUCAUACAGUGUUACAUCAUCUAAUGUGAUUUGACAGAUGCAGCUUGACAUAACAUGACAUGAAACAUGUCACAGAAUAAAUUUAAAAAGCAGUUGCUGGAAGGUAAAAUCUCAUAGGUUUUUUUGUGCAAGGAAAAAGAAUUUCACAUGUAUGUUAGAAUGGAUUGUUCAGAUUGCAUGCACACACAAAAUUAUCAGGUGCACGCAGACAACAAAUUAAAGAGACACUGUUACUCUGGAUAAAUUCUUAUUUGAAAUAGAGGGGCUAGCUCAGUCAUCUGAACCGGCAGGCCAUUUUCUCCAUGGUAUUGCAUGGAGAAACCAUGCAGAAUUUUGGAAAGGGAGGGAAUAUGCAGGAGAAAUGCUACUCACAGUAAGUUUGAGAAUCAUGGGUCUUGGAUAUUCAUAAUUUAUCACUGACCCUCUGCAUGUUUAGGUCCAAGUUGGAUUUACUCAAAUAAGUGUACAUGGGGCAACUAUUUAAACUGGAAAAGAGCCAUGCAUUUGUUAAAGAUUUAUUGGAGAAUUUUUUUAAUAAUAACUAAGAGAAGGUCACUCACAAAGGACAAUCUCCCCACUUCUCUCGCACAAACACAUUAAUUUUUUAAGUAGCUGUCUAAAAAUGCUCAGCCGCAUUGCUUCAGAAGUGGAACACUCAUAGCACCUAGCUCUCCAAGAGAAAUGGACUCAUCAGACUUGGCUCUCUAGAGCCUUGGUCAAACAGCAUGCCUUGCUGUUUGGUUUCCUUAUGCAUCAUAUAUUAAUCUUGACGUCUUUCUAGCACACACAUCAGGCCAUCAAUCUCCUUGGAAAGACACAUUUGACUAAAUACAUUUUCUGUCCUUAUAGUUUCAACUUAUAUGAUGACCUUCAUUUCCUUCGAUCAUGCUGUAUAUUUUUUCUGUCACAACGGGACAUGAUCUCUUUGUUAAUUUAUGUUGAUCUGCUGUUUUCUUCUGCAUACAUUUUAUCUUCAUAUCCUGUUGGAAAAGUCAGUAAAAAAUAACCCCCACCCUCAGGCCAGCUGCUUCAGAACAGUGGUCCAACUUAUUAUAUAUCCAAAACAAAUAGGGAAUCUUUACUAGUUAUUGAGAUGCAAUCCUAAAUCUGAUUAACUCUUCUGGAAAUUAGAGUUUAUUGAGUUUUGUGAAAAAUCCAACAUGUGUCCGGAUUCUGAUUCAUAAUAUCCUGAAAAAUCUCCAGAAACAGGAAGUAGGUCAUGUGAAGUGCCAUCUGGAUACAUGUUGGAAUAUUGACAAGGCGACCAGUUUAGGAAGCCAAAAUACACUGGGAAAUAUCAUGCUAUUUAUUUGCAAUAAGUGUUAAUGAAUCUAGGGAGAUGAGAUUCUAAUUCUAUACACACUUACCUACAAGUAAGCUGUAUUGAAUUCACUGGGACUUACAUUGACACAUGCUGAAAUUGUAUUUGGGCUUUAUCCAAUGUUAGACCUACUCAGAGUAGACACAAUGAAAAUAAUGGGCAUCAGUAACUUAGACCCAUUAAUUUCAAUGACCCUACACUGAGAAUAACUUAUUUGAAUACAACCCUUUGUUUACCAUGGCUUUUCCUGGCUACUGAUGGCUACCUUCAUAAUAUUUUCAGGAUUUUUUUAAUUAGGAAUUUUACUGCAUUUUAAUGAUUUCCAUUUGUGUUAUAUUUUCUGAUAUUAGUGAAUGCCAAAAUGAGAUGUCUGUAUAACAAAUGGCAUAUACAUAUUUUAAUAAAACAGCACAAAAAUAAAUCUCGGUAGAUACAUAUAAGAUUGUGCUCCAAAGUGCCUCAGCUAUUUUAGACAUUCCAAAGAAAGUGAAAAAGUUUUACAACAUGUUUCCAAAGACAGCAUUCCAAACUGUGCUUUGACAUUCAGUUUUUGACAUUGUCUGUAUUUUAACCCACACAAGUUUUUAGAAAGUAUCAUUCAGUGCUGAAUUUUGAAAUGCAUUCUUUUCUGUUCUUUGCCAAUUAUUUUGUCAGUCAUUAUGUUCAGAGCUGCACAUUAAUUUGGGAUGCAAAUUGGAAUUUUUUUGCAAACACACAGCCCAUUUGGCAGUAAACUGCCCAUAUUCAGUUGAUCUGGAGGUCCCAAGACCUUUGGAAAUUGAAAGUGAAAUAAAAUAAUCCAUGGUAUGCCAUUGUCUUAGAGCAGAGGGAGCCAAUGUGAUCCCCACCAGAUGUUCUUAGACAAUAAUUCCCGUCAGCCCAAGCUAACAUGGUCACUGUUAAGGAAUGAGUAGAAGUGGAGUCCAAGAACAUUGGGGGGGGGGAGGGUGUCACAUAGACUACGUGAGUUGGGUUUUCAGUGGUGACCCUGGAGUCUUCCGAAAACCUUGCUGUUAAAGAGCUGUCUUUGUCAAAUAUCACAUUGCCUUUCUCUGGAUCUGUCUUAUGAUGUCUAAUGGCAUUGUAGCCAUGAUCUCUGCUCCAUGUGAGUUCUCUGUUGCUACAUAUUUUAUGCUUAUUUUAGGUUGGGGGUAGGGACGUGGGUGGCGCUGAGUCUAAACCACUGAGCCUAGGGCUUGCCAAUCGGAAGGUCGGCAGUUCGAAUCCCUGCAACGGGGUGAGCUCCUGUUGCUCGGACCCAGCUCCUGCCAACCUAGCAGUUCGAAAGCACGUCAAAGUGCAAGUAGAUAAAUAGGUACCACUCCGGCAGGAAGGUAAACGGCGUUUCCGUGCGCUGCUCUGGUUUCGCCAGAAGCGGCUUAGUCACGCUGGCCACAUGACCCGGAAAAACUGUCUGCAGACAAACAUCAGCUCCCUCGGCCAGUAAAGUGAGAUGAGCGCUGCAACCCCAGAGUCGUCUGUGACUGGACGUAACUGUCAGGGGUCCCUUUACCCUUACCUUUUAGGCUGGGGGUGGGGUGGGGUAGUGAGCUUGAGUUUUUGCUUUUGUGAUUUAUUUUAUUUUAAUGUUUUAAUUGCAAACUGCCCAGAUAAUUUGGUUGGAUAGGUGGCAUAAACUGAUGCUGUUGAUAUUGACAGAAUAAUAAUAACAGUAAUAGGAGUAGUAACAAUAACAGUAAUUCAAAGAAGCCUGUUCAUAAAUUGGCAUUGCUGUUCCAUAGUGAUCAGUUCAUACCACUGCAAUUCAUACCCUUGACAUUUACAUUUAUUGAGGGAGUCAUCACCAAGGACACAUCACCUACAGUGCCUUCCUCAAGAAAACCCCAGUAAUUGCAGCCUAGGACUGAGUCCGCAGUCUUGAUUUGAUCAUUAAGAAAAAAAUGCAGACAAUCUCACAGAAGCAAGAGGAGGGAGAGAGAAAAAGCAUUAGCCUAGCUGAAUUUUCUACACUGACUAAGCAGCUUUAUCAUUUCAAGGACAGAGAGGGAAAAAAGGACUUCAACUCUCCCUAAAUGUAAAUUACUGACACAAUUGCAGCUACUUAUGCCAACAUAAAGUGGAAUUUAACAGGGCCCUCUGGAGUUUUAAAUCCUCUGAACGGUGAAUGUAAUGGGCAGUAGGCACUUUCUUUCAGGCAAGUUGUCAGGAUUAAAAUGAGAAAUUUGCAGGUAGGGAAAUGGUCACCUUAGUGAGCUCAUGAAAAAUAAAAAUUAAUGAUGAGUUUCUUGUUUAUAUCCGGUUCACAGAUUAUCAAUAAAAAAAAUUGGAUCAGAAACCCUGCUUUCCACCUCCCUUAUCAUUGCCUAGAGAGCCUGUUUGUAACGUGGCAAACUCUGGGAAAGAUUGUUUUUGACUGGAAGCAAUAACCAGUUUUCAAGUUGAAGAAAAGUUCAGGCAUUGUUUGGUUGUCUUGUGUAUGGUACCUGUAUAUUUAAAGCGGGUGCUCUAUUCCUUGCAUUUUCUAAAGCAAUAACAGCUUUUUUUAUACUUAAAGGUAAAGGGACCCCUGACCGUUAAGUCCAGUCGUGGACGACUCCGGGGUUGCGGCGCUCAUCAAUUUCACCCAAUUUCAAUCAGGGAUAGUAAAGAUUUUGCUCCAGGG